rnacentral:lncRNA from 1 species
GAAUGGCCAAUGAACACUUAUUUUGCUGGAGCCUGCAACUUACUUAAGCUCUGUGGACCUAGUGUUCUGCGAACACCCAAGAAAGCACAGGUACAUGGAGGUGUCUGGGCUGUCUGCAUUUGACCUCCUGCUUCCCUGUAAGCUCCCUGGAAGUACCACAGCUCUUCAUGACACACAAGCGGCAAGCCGAAUGCAACUCUGAUUUGAUGGCAAUAAUUGCUGUACUAAUCAGUCUGGGAAUACACUUCAGG